rnacentral:tRNA from 2 species
AAUGAUUAAGAAGAAUUUUCUUAUAAAUAGAUUUACAAUCUAUCGCCUAAACU